rnacentral:rRNA from 1 species
CAGCCGUAAACUAUGCGCGUUAGGUGUACUGGUGACCACGAGUCACCGGGUGCCGAAGGGAAACCGUGAAACGUGCCGCCUGGGAAGUGCGGUCGCAAGGCUGAACCUAAGGAAUUGGCGGGGGAGCGACCAUAACGGGUGGAGCCUGCGGUUUAAUUGGACUCAACGCCGGAAAUCUCACCGGAUAGGACAGACAUAUGAUAGUCGGGCUGAAGACUCUACUUGAUGAUCUGAGAGGUGGUGCAUGGCGUCAGUGACU